CGGCCCACCUAGUCGACGAUCGGUAGCCGGACUGAGAGGUUGAUCGGCCACAUUGGGACUGAGACACGGCCCAGACUCCUACGGGAGGCAGCAGUGAGGGAUAUUCGGCAAUGGGGGAAACCCUGACCGAGCAACGCCGCGUGAGGGAAGACGGUUUUCGGAUUGUAAACCUCUGUCCUCUGCGAAGAUAGUGACGGUAGCAGAGGAGGAAGCUCCGGCUAACUAC
rnacentral:rRNA from 1 species